rnacentral:lncRNA from 1 species
AUAGGAAGGGAAGGUUGAGAAAUAGACAUGAGAUUACCAUUUGCUGCCAUGUUUGCUUUCUCAAGAUUUUUAUCAAACACCUGGUGUGCAAGAUAUGCUUACCCUCUUUGCACUUGGUAUAAGCUUAAAUCUAAUUUGCAGAGAUCUCCUUUCACUUGCAAUGUUUCUCCCACGUAUGAUCGAAACAAGCUCUGAUACCACAAAUUGUUGGGAAGGAGUGAUAGAUAGAUAACAAAUAUGAAUGGAAAACUUGUUUUAUUUUCUCGAAACAAAGGAAAAGAGAGGAUGGUUUUCAGCACUCAAACUUCAUAACAGAUAAUGCCUCUUUAUAAGCUUACAACCAACAAAAACACUAAACAACCAGAUAAAAACCUUAAACCAGAAAACUAAGGGAUAAGUCCUAUCUAGAAACAAUUAGCAAAGAGAUAAAUUUCGCCUAGAAACUAACAAACAAAGAGAUAAGUCUUCUGAAAAUAUGCUGUCAAAGUUUGAAUCAGUCUUCAACAUGGAUGGCAUAGUAACUACUGUCCAGUGACUCAUAAAUUGACUUGGACAUAAACCAAUUAAUAGUAGGAUUUCUUCUAUCCCAAUUGUCUUAAUGAUGGUCUUUUUACCAUCAACUGUCUUUUGAUAGUAAGUUAUGACUAUUGAUUCACUACCUCAUAUUGCCCUAAUAUGGGUUGGUUUUCUAGCCAUAAGUUUCUCAUUCUCCAAUUGAU